CAAGAAUUUUUACCAAAGGUGCUUCGUUACAUUCCCAGACCAUGGGAAUGAGUUUUUGCUGUUAUUUCUGUUGUCACAUAGAUUUAAAAAUAUAAACAUCUUUUUAUAUUUUUGCUUUUUGAGGCAGUGAGUAAAAGAGGACUGAACAAACACACGACAUUAAAGUAAUAAAAUAUCAAGUGAAUUUCCUCUGCAUUCUGAGCUAAUUAUUUUUCCCACUUUGGUCACACACAGCUAAAGAGCAUUUAAAGUGAUGCAAAUUAGAAGAGGGUUAAUAUACACACUACAGCUUCAUCUGCUGCUCUCCCAGCGGAGAAUAACUAUUCCCCCUCAACCACCACUUUCAAGUUCUAUAGCUUAGUGUGACCAUUUUAAUUGUUUCUUUUCUGCAAGGCAUGAAGAUAAACCAUGCAUGAAUCAAUACAUGAAUGAUUCAGCCUCUGGUCUAGUUUACUGAUAUACUCAUCAUUUAUAUCCUUGCAUAAUUUGCAGAAAUUGAGAGUGUAGCUGGGCUUUGCAUUCAGCUGAAUGUAGCUUGUUUACACAGUCCAAUGGGGUUUCAUGUUCCAAAAAAAGCAAAUCCUGUAGGGAUUGCUCAAGCAGGAAGAAAACAUCUAAGGUUUUGUGCUAACACAGACGCACUUCAGUAUCUAGAUGUGCCAGCACUUUAAGUCAAACUUGGUAAGAUCACCGCUCUCUUUAGCGCUGAGACAAACAAUCUCAAUUCAAAGGGAGUUUUGGCUCCCUGGGAAAAUGCUCUUCAGCCUCAAAUUCAGUAAGCUGAAAUAUCAGCCACCAAUUAUCAGUCAGAUUCAUCUCAUUGAGCUGUAGUUGCUUAAAAAUUAGGGAGGUAUUCUAAGUUACUUGUCCAGGUUCCUGGAACACACUGAGAUACUCCCCACACACACACACUCAGCUGUUCCCCAGACCUUGGGGUUGUCUUUCAAAUAGCCAGGAUUCAUCUUCUGGGACCACCACUUCCUAACUGGCUCGUUCUUGGAUCUUAGCCUCAACUAUCAUCUGCCAGUAACCUUAAAGAGAAUGAGAUGUGAGACCACAAAAUGAUGUUUUGGAAGUGGACUAGACGGUAGCCCUGCCUAUUGCUACAAAAACAGCAUUUACCCGACAGAGGAACUGAUGCUUAUGGAUUUGUGCCAAAACCAAUUGACCUGGUUAUUCUGACUGGUAACAAGAAGUUGCUUCCUACCUCCCUUCCUAAGAACCCAAGAAAGCCCAAGGUAUGUAAGCAAAGGUUUGAAGGGAAAUCCUCCAGCCUCUGCAUCUUCUGUGCUGGGAAAUUUGGCCCUUGUCAUUUCCAUACUCAGUAUUCCAUGUCUGGCAGAGUUGUCUUUCUGGCUGUCAUCCUAGGGAACUGUGUCUUCUCACAAGAGGACAGCAGGGAGAAAAGAAACACACUGGGAGAUGGUUAAUAAGUCUGCCUGGGCCAGCAGUUCUGUGCUUUCCUCUACUUGGAGUUCAGACAAAGCCACUCAUUACCUCUGUACUGUGCUAACAGUACAUAUUUUAGCUUGUGUCAUGUAAAGGUGAAGAGAGGCUGUGAGAAUAUCCUGGGAUGUCCUCAUCUGAAAAUUUAUUUUAAA